UUUUUUUGGAGAUUCAUGGUUGUUCCUUUCAAUAAUGUUGUCUCCAGGAGUUUAGACCCAAGUUCACUCCAUCCUUGGAGCAUCUCAUUCUGAAGUCUCAUAAUGAUAAACAUAGCGGUAAGUGCCUUCGUUUCAACACUUUAACACUGUUUUCUCUCGGGAAAUUUAACUCCGUUUGAAGAUGAGGGAUUCAUGGAUUUCAUACCCGAUGAAUGUAAUCAUCUUGAGUUGGUGUUAUGCUUGUGACUGAACUAAGUGAGUAAUUAUAGCUGAAACCUUGUUUUAAAGCAUGUAUGAUUGCUUGAGCAUUGGUUAUUGAUGUUGAACUUUUUAGGUUUACCAGGCAAUGUGUAGAACUGAAGUGAAGAUCAAUCAGUGAAACGGUAAUAGGUUAAUUCUACAUCGAAUAACAUGACCCCCAAUCUUGUAUCUUCUUGUUUUGGAAGUGUUGACGAAAGACGUUUGGCAUCUCGUUUAGUAUAUCGUUUAUUAUUGGUCAACAUAAAACCUAAAAAUGUCACUGUUUUCCAAGAAUGCGCUUGUAUUGGAUUGGUAUUGGAGCUCUAUUAGAAAUUUUUUUCUCAUUUCACAUGUGGGGGUUGGCCUGCAUGCCGUAUCGCUCUUGCAUUCGAUGUGCAUGUUUGUUUGCCCUUCAUAGGGUGAUAGCAAUAUGUAUAUAUUAGCCUCUUUUUUAUAGCAAUAUGUAUAUGUUAGCCUUUUUGAGCUCUAAAUAUACUAUAUGCCAUGCUUGAACUGUCGAUGAGUUAGCCUUCCAUAUGUUAAGAGUUUCUGCAUUCGAUAGAUUCAGUUAUUGGUUUUGGCAGUUUUCUUUUUAAGUUCUUGUAUAGCAAUGUGCAUGCUUGUAACAGAGAUGAAUGAUAAUCUAGGACUCCUUCCAAGGUGUCGGGACCACCACUAAAUCCCCCAUCCAACCCUUUCGGGAAUGCAUUUUACAGUGUUGGUUCUGGACUGAGUCGAGGAGGAUUAGGUUGGUUGCUAACCAUUCUAUCAAAUAUCUUUCUUGUGCAUCAUUUUAGCAAAUGCAUUACAAUUCUAAUAUUUUACUUGCUUCAUAUAGGCAAACACGAGUGUAGCGAUUUACAAUUUCUUUUUCCUUUAAAUCCUAACAAUACCAAUUUAGCGAUUCGGAUAGCUCAACAAAAUUCUGAGGUAAAACUAUUGAAGUAAUCUCCCGAGUAGUUGGUCUGCUUCAAUUAACAGAUAAGCAAGUACUUCUCUGAUCCUCAGUAUUACUUCCAAGUGAUCGAUCAUGCAUGUAUGCAUGUAUGUGGAUCAUUUUAUUGUUUUGUUGCAUCUUUAGGGGCAUUGACAAUUACUGAGCCAGUUGGAGGGCAGCACUCCUAUAAACCUCCCAUUUAUGGCAUUUGCUACGAACUCAUUAGGUCCAUCAGGGAAGUAAGUUCGAAUAGUUGUAAUGCUUUAAAAGCUUCAAAUUUGAUCUUUGCAUAAACAUCUUCGACUCUCUAGUUCGUGCCAGGCUCAGUCCAGAGGGGCCGGUUUCUCCAAGUAGUGCUGCUGUAAAGGUAUCAUUGGUUUCAUUAGGGGAAGGAGAUGCCCCAUUGCUUGAGUAAUUGCAUAUGCCGAAUAUUCUUUCGCCGGAUCGUAUUACUUCGUAGUUCUGUGGAUUUGUUUGUGCAUAGGCACCUUCUAAUAGCAGGAGAUUUAUUUAUUAACCCCAAAUUUAAUUUUUCCUUGUCUCAAUCCAAUCUUUUGUGCUUGGAAAUUUUGAUUAAUUAUCUUAUUUUAAUUGUGUUUUACACUUUGUUUCUUUGUUUUGAAAUAAACAAUGAACCCUAAUUUGCUGCAUAAUUAUUUGUUACUUGAAUAAGUGAACAAGAAUGAAGAUAACAAGUUUAUGCAAAUUGCAUUUGUUUGAGUAGCUUAGCAAAUAUUGAGAAAGGAAAUGCUUUGACUGCAAUUAAUGGUAUGCAGAUGUGUGUAACUUUCUAGUGUUUGAUUAAUAUGUAUUUUUAUUAAAAAUAUUUAACUCAAGUACAUGAUUUUUUAUUUUGGUUAUGGGUAUUUUUAAGGAAAAUUUUACAUUAAUAUUCUGUCAAGAAUAUUUAAUGAUGUUAAUUAUUUGUACUAUUAUAAAAAUAGAAAGAUUAAAUUAAAUUACCUCUCAGGAUUAAAUUUUAAAUUUGAGUAAUUUGAGUAUAGUAAAAGGACU
rnacentral:lncRNA from 1 species